rnacentral:rRNA from 1 species
AUGCGGCACUCGAUCCUCUUCUCGCGAUGCGCUCCCGCUCCAUCCCCGCUGCCGCCGCCGCCCCCCACCACUCCCCUGUCUCCGGCUCAGCCACCUCCACCUCCACCACCCCCACCCUUCUCUCCAUCGCCCGCGGCACUCGAUCCGAUGCAGCGCCGAUCUGGCGGCGGGUGCGGCGUCUUGCUCCGGUGGCGACGGCGUCCUUAUGAUCCAAAGAAAGAGAGACAUGGAGUGAGGGAGCCCAACGCCACCGCAACGUCAAUGACCGCUCGCGCGUCUCAUUCACCUCCAAGCUUCGACGACGGCAGAUUAGCAGCCCCUGCGGCCGCGAUGACCCUGGAUCUACGGCCACAGCGGCGCCAGCGGCCCGGCCGGUGCAGGCCGCAACUAACCCUAGCUGCACUGGGAGUUCUCCAUCGGCUCGCCUUCCCCUCCGUCUCCGGUGGACAAACGCCUCUUCUUUCGCUCCGCCCUAGCUAUGGUAUAAGCUCCUCAAAACUCUGCUUUCUCUCAUGCGCUCGUGUGCCCACGGCCAUCCACCCGUGGCCAAUCAAUCUUACCCUGGCCAUCACGCCAUGGCAAGUUCUAGGAUUUUUGGCUUGUGCGGAUGCCCUGUCAUCCAAAGAUCUGUGCUUGUUGUGUCAUGUACGUAUAAUACAGUAG